ACCACUGCCAGGCGUGAGGUCGCUGUGAAAGCCUGCGCUGUGCUCUGCCAGCGCGCGGAGGUAAUGGGCCUUCCGAACCUCUCAGGGGCUGAGACACAGAAACCUCUGUCUGCAGAAACUUUGAAACCUAAUCUACUAAAGACAAGAUGUGACUUCCUGGAGGGAGGUGCACACGGGCGACUCUGGCCAAGGAAUUUUGUCAGGAAGUAGCGCAGCCCCACCGGAAGCCAACCCAGGAGGGCGUACUGAAUUAACGUGUGGGAAUUACCAAGACUAGCGACCCUCCCCAAGUGGACAGAGCCUGAUAGGAACGAAUAUCCAGGGAGAGCGGGAAUCGAACCAUCCCCCAUGAAGACGCACCGAGGGCAAGAGUUCUUCUGUUUCUUGUUAUUUGAGAGAUCUUGGCCAGAGAAUGGGACACUGGAAUGUGACACUAUGCAAGAAUUUCAGAUACAUUUCUUCCUAACUUUCAUGCCUGUCUUUAGUAUCCAAAAAGAUAACAUCAGUGUCAUCCAGACCAAGGUCUCUGAUUGCAUUCCAGAUGGCCACGAGGCAUGAUGGCACGAUGGCAGAGCUCUCCUAACUCGUGGAGAAAUGGAGGAAAAAGACAGCAUCAUUUAUAACCACAGAAUCGCACAAACCAAGCAACAGGCACCAUAGCUCAGAAGCCGGCACAGCUAGCAAGCCAAGCUGAGUUCCCUCCCGGCAUGCUGAUUCAGAAGCUGCUCUUGCUGGCUGUGUUUGAUUCUUCCCUCUCGGGGUGCAUUCCUUUAAAGAUGUUCCGAAUUUAUUCUUAUUGUGUGUGUGUGUGUGUGUGCGCGCGCGCGCGCGCGCGCACAGGCAUGAUGGGGAAGUCAGAGGACAACCUUCUGGGACUGUUUUCCCCCAUCCUCGCGGGUUCCAGGAAUUAAGCUCAGGACUCCAGGCUGCGCUGGAGCACCUUUACCUGCUGAACAACCUCACCAGAUUAUGUACUUUAGCAAUGCUGAUUCUACUGCAGAUGAAAGUAGGAAACUUAUAUGCAUAAAAGCAGGUUCUUUUCUUCAAAAUCAUGUCUUUCAUCACAGUGAAUGACAAGAUUCUAGGUUGGCUGACUGGAAACCAGUGAGAUGACCUUGUACAACCCAACUCACUUUAAUAAAAAAUAACCUACAUCACGUAAACCUUUUCAUUCACUUAACAAGUGUUAUAUAGUGCUUAAAAUACGCUGUAGGCUUUGCUGGUCCGUGACAUACAUAAAGAUAAGUAAAUCACAGCGUUUGGCCUAGAAGAGCUCGUAAGACAAAUCACUGCAGCUUCUUGCCUGUACCAGUGCUGUAACCCGGAGCCACUGUGUUUUCUGGGAGCCCAAAGGACAGUUCGUUGCCCUUGGGAAGGGGGAUGAGGGGCCAGCAGGCAGAAGGCCUUGAGGCCUGAACUGUAGCUCCCAGCAGGAAGCUGUGUUCUCAGUUUGGGAACAGGAGCAAAGCUGUGCUGUAGAGUGUUGGAAGUCCUGUCUGGGGAGAUGAGCCAGGAACAGCAGACAGACUUUAUGGCCUUCAUAAAGCAAUGAUGGAACCAAAUCAAUUUCUUAAAACCGGCUUCAAAGCUCUAGAGAGACCAAGUAGUAUCACAGCUACUUACUAUUUUUCUUUUAAGAAAUUGUGGAUUUUCAUGUACAUUCAUUUUGAGUGUUUAGAAGUGAUUUUCAAAUAUCAUCCAGAUCAACACUAAACAAAAACAGCAAUGAAGUCUCA